AUAUAUCUAUAAUGACCAGUUUGAUCCAUCUAUUUGUUUUUCGUAUUACCUUUUUGUGAUUGUUACGUUUACCAUUACUUAUUUUGAUGAUUUUUUAAUUGCACCACUGGAGAGAUAUUAUUGGAAAGGACUCAAAAUUUCCUUCCAUCAGAUUGGUUAGGUACAACAUUACUGAUGAAGAAAAGAGUAGUUAGAAUUGAUAGUUGCAACCAGUGCGAUCUG